GAUCAAGAAAGAAGAAAUAGUGGAAGUGAUCGGGGAAAAGAGAAAGUUAUCGACUAAAUUACAAAAAAAAAUAGUCGUUUUGCAUCCGAGUGAUUUGAACUUGAUCGAAUUGGGGAUCGUCGGAGCUCGUAUCACACUAUCAUAAUCAUCUCGGUAUUAUGUGCUUUUCAAAAUGUUUAAACUAUGGCAUGUAUAGAGUCUUAAUCAUUUUGAGCAUGUUCAAAUGAUAUGGCUAAUAUUAGCUAUUGAAGUAGUUAUUAAAGAAUAUGUUUUGGUGUUAUGUAUGUUAAAAUGGUAACUAAUUCAAAGAAGCAGUUUCUUUGACA